rnacentral:tRNA from 1 species
CGUUAGCUCAGUUGGUAGAGCAGUUCGCUUUUAACGAAUUGGUCGCUGGUUCGAAUCCAGCACGG